rnacentral:sRNA from 2 species
GAAUAUUUAGCGCUGAAUCCGUCAUGGAGCGGGGGACCCACUUGUUGCAACGCUCGUUGCUAGGGGUGAAUCCGAAAGGACGGGCAUCUCUCCAAGCCCGAACCCGACAGCUAACCUCGCAAGCGCUUUGGGGAGGGACG